rnacentral:lncRNA from 1 species
CAAAUAUUUCAAUCAAGAUUGAUAACGAACUAGCGAUGCUUUGUCAAUGUCAAAAUGCAGCUAUUAUUAGGACAAUGAAGGGGGUAGGUACUGGGUGUUGGUAGAGCUCGUCUAGCCGACGGAGACGGAAUCCGGAAGUUCAGCGAAGUUUUCCGUGGAGCAGUUUCCAUCAGAGGGCAGAGUCAGCUUGGAGGGCAGAAUCUCCUUGACAGCGGAGCAUUUGAAUCACUGUGAAAGAAAGAUGAGAGCAAGAGGGAAUGUGCAGCGCCAGACGCCGGGCCCUGUAGGUCAUGAAAGAUAUUCUAAGUGACAUCAGCAAAUGGCCAAAUAAGACGUUCCGCCCACGUGUGCCCCGCCUCAACAAUACUUUGGCAUCCAUCCAUGGACAAAAGCAUCUUCCUGGGAGCCUUGAGAUCCAGGUAGGACGCUGUGAAAUCCUAGGGCAGUCCAAGAUGAGAAAAGCCAUCUUGAGAAGGCACCCAAGCAGCUGACUCCCUCAUUGUAGUCCAGGCUACAGAAAUGAAA